rnacentral:rRNA from 1 species
AUUGAACGCUGGCGGCAGGCCUAACACAUGCAAGUCGAGCGGGGUUUUCGGACCUAGCGGCGGACGGGUGAGUAAUGCGUAGGAAGCUACCCGAUAGAGGGGGAUACCAGUUGGAAACGACUGUUAAUACCGCAUAAUGUCUACGGACCAAAGUGUGGGACCUUCGGGCCACAUGCUAUCGGAUGUGCCUACGUGGGAUUAGCUAGUUGGUGAGGUAAUGGCUCACCAAGGCGACGAUCCCUAGCUGGUUUGAGAGGAUGAUCAGCCACACUGGAACUGAGACACGGUCCAGACUCCUACGGGAGGCAGCGGUGGGGAAUAUUGGACAAUGGGCGCAAGCCUGAUCCAGCCAUGCCGCGUGUGUGAAGAAGGCCUUCGGGUUGUAAAGCACUUUCAGUAAGGAGGAAGCGUUGAGUGUUAAUAGUACUCAGCGUUGACGUUACUUACAGAAGAAGCACCGGCUAACUCUGUGCCAGCAGCCGCGGUAAUAC